rnacentral:rRNA from 1 species
GACGAACGCUGGCGGCGUGCUUAACACAUGCAAGUCGAACGGAAAGGCCCCUUCGGGGGUCCUCGAGUGGCGAACGGGUGAGUAACACGUGAGUAACCUGCCCUUGACUUCGGGAUAACUUCAGGAAACUGGGGCUAAUACCGGAUAGGAAUCCUUGCUGCAUGGUGGGGGUUGGAAAGCUUCGGCGGUUUUGGAUGGACUCGCGGCUUAUCAGCUUGUUGGUGGGGUAGUGGCUUACCAAGGCUUUGACGGGUAGCCGGCCUGAGAGGGCGACCGGCCACAUUGGGACUGAGAUACGGCCCAGACUCCGACGGGAGGCAGCAGUGGGGAAUAUUGCACAAUGGGCGGAAGCCUGAUGCAGCAACGCCGCGUGCGGGAGGACGGCCUUCGGGUUGUAAACCGCUUUCAGCAGGGGCGAAGCUUGUGGUGACGGUACCUGCAGAAGAAGCACCGGCUAACUACGUG